AGCAGUAGAGGAUGGCAAAUAAAGCAUGAUAUGUUUACCAAAUGGAAGACGCUACCAUCAUUAAAAUAAAGAAAAAUAAAUCAGAGACAAUGAUGUUCCAGCUGCAUUAUGAGAAACAAAAAAAUUCAAAGUCCCAAAGCAUAGUAUAUCAUUUUGUCAAAAAAGGAAAAAAAAAUGUAUAGCAAAAAGACAAAAAAUACAUACACCAAAUUAAUGAGAGUGAUUAUCUUUGGGUGGAGGAAUUAUGACUGAUUUUUCUUUGUCUAUGUUUUCUAAAAUUUCUAUAAAACACCUGUACAAAUAAAAUUAUAAUAAUAAGAAAGAAAAGUUAAUAUUAAAUAACUAUUCCACAAGGUUACUGUGAAGAUAAAAUGAAAUAAAGCAAGGCAAUGUUGACCUAAUAUUAGUUUUUAAUAUUGCAAACAUCUCUCUGUGACUGUUAGGAGACCCAGUUUCCUAUGGCAAGUACUAAUUGCAUUAUCCUUUCUAGAGAACCCUAUGUGAAGUCUGAAGUGAAAGUGUGAUAGCAUAGCUGGCUACUUUCAGGAGUGCCCUAUGGUGAUGGAUAAUCUGAUAAUACUUGCCAAAAUGGUAAUCAUAACCAAUAUGCUGAUAAAGUUCUGAAAAAUAAGGCUUGCUUAGUGCUUAGUACCAUGUAUUUUACGCAGUGCUCGAGAAUGCAGCGAGAGACCUAGGGGCUGACGUGGGACAACUUUUGACUCCUAGGAAAACCACCACCCUUUAGCUACCACACAGGUGUUUGCCUAAGCCAAUGACUAUAGGGCAUAUGACUACAGUGUCAACACAUACCAGCAACCAAAGGCCUGUGGAGACCUCUGCAGUACAGGUGCUACCUCAGAGACUGAUCACAAAAUCCUCAAGGCAGGAGUGAGCCCUUUCAUCAGGACCUCCUGAUAAAUCUCCAGGAGUUAGUGCCCUGUAAUACAAAGAGGAUGACCUCUGGAGUCAGAAAGACCCAGGUUGCAAGCCCAGUUUCACUUACCAACUAGUCGUUUCACUUGAGGCAAGCUACUUAGCUUGAGCCUCAGUUUCAAUAUCUGUAGGAUGGAAGUAAGGACACCUUUUUCAUGAGGCUGUUGUGAUUAUCAAAAGGUAUAGGCAGUGCAAAGCUGAAAGCAGUCAGCUGUCAGUGAAUUCUAUUAUCUAAGCAAUGUUAUCUGAUGGCAAUGCAUCUUACAGGAAUGCAUUGGAAUGUUCCAUAGAGAAGGGAAGGAAAAAAGGCCCAUAUGUCCUUGGGAUGUGACACUAAGGUGGCCCUGAGCUUCAGAAUAAACUAUGGGUUCUUUCUGAGAUUGACAUACCUUGUUAUAUUUUGAUUGAUUUCAACUAGCACAGUUCUUCUCUUUUAAAUUAUUCUUUUUCCAUUUGUCUUUUUUUAAAUUUUAGUUUUAAAAAGGUUGUAACGGGUUGAGUUGCAUCCCCCAAAAAGACACAUUCAAGUCCUAACUCCUGAUACCUGCGAAUGUGACCUUAUUUGGAAAGCAUAUCUUUAUAGAUAUAAUUAAGAUGAAGCAAUACUGGUCCAGGGGCCAGUCAUCUGAAUACUUAGACUAAGUAUUUAGAUUUAGUCUAAAUUUAAUUACUACUAUCUGUGUAAGAGGAAGGAGAGGGAGAUGUGCAUUUAGGGACACAGACAACACAUAGAGAAAAAGGCCACAUGCAGAUGGAGGAGGGAUUGGAGUGACAUAGCUAUAAGCUCAAGAAUGCCAAGGAUUUCUAGCAACUACCAGAAGCUAGGAGAGAGGCUUCAGGAACUUCUUCCCUAAAGCCUUCAGAGGGAGCAAGGCUCUGCUGCCACCUUGAUUUUGGGACUUCUAGCAUCCAGAACUGUGAGAGAACGCCACCAUCCUUUAGCUACCACACAGGUGUUUGCCUAUGCCAAUGACAAUUGGCGUAAAACAAUUUCUGUUGUUUUAAGCCACCCAGGUUGUGGCACUUUGUUACCACAGUUCCAUGAAAUUAAUACAAAGGUCCAGGAAAUGUUAUGAGUGUAAGGUGUCUGGCAAUAAUACUCUGGGGUCCUCCAAAAACAGAGUGUAGCUGUUUUCUUGCUGCCCCACCAAAUCCAUUCUCCCAUUCCUCCAGGGCAGUCAAGUUUUAGAUGGACACAUAGCCAUCCAGUUAGAGGCUGUAAUUCCCAGAGUCCCUUGCAGCUGGGUAUGGCCGAAAGACUAGAUUCUUACCAAGACAUGUGACCAGGAGGGGCGUGUGUAACUUCCAUGUCACUUAAAAGGAAGCUGUUCACUCUGGAUAUCCUUUCUCUCUCUCUUUCCAUGGACUGGAACUUGCAUAAGGCCAUGACCCAGCUCCAGCCAUGUGGGCAAGGCCACCUUUGGAGACAGGAGAGAGCACCCAGACAGGACCUGUGAGCAGAGCUUCCUUGGCAGCCUCCACUGGCUUCAAUACCACAGGAGAGAGAAGCCAGCUUCUACCUCAUUUUAGCUUGCACAGAAAUUGUUUCACUCCACUUCUCAAGAUUUGAAUCUAAACAACACACCAACUAUCUUAUGUCUUUCUUUGUUCUCCCGAGAGGGUUGUAAUUCGGCUUCAAUGAUCUUUUUUUUUUUUUUUUGAGACAGAGUCUCGCUCUGUCACCCAGGCUGGAGUGCAGUGGUGCGAUCUAGGCUCUCUGCAACCUCAACCUCUGCCUCCUGGGUUGAUGCGAUUCUCCUGCCUCAGCCUCCCGAGUAGCUGGGAUUACAGGCACGAGCCACCAUGCCUGGCUAAUUUUUGUAUUUUCAGUAGAGAUGGGGUUUUGCCAUGUUGGCCAGGCUGGUCUUGAACUCCUGACCUCAAGUGAUCCGCCCGCCUCGGCCUCCCAAAGUGCUGGGAUUACAGGCGUGAGCCACCGCACCUGGCCAGUUUCAAGGAUCUUAUGUCUGCAAACCAUCAAGCAAUGACCAGUGUGGAAUGAACUCCUUCAAGGGGACUGAGAAGGUGCCAGCUCACAUCACACAUCCUUUCUGAUGAUAUGAAUGGAGAAGUCUAUGUCAUAAUUUAAGGUGCAUUCUUACACAUCCUGUGUUCUGAUUAGAGCAAUAUAUUGCCAGAUACCUCAACUUUGCACCUGAAAACACAGUACCUGGGAUUUAAGAAAUAUUUGAGCACUUGAAAGGAAGAAAGAAAAAAAAAAAAAGGAAAGAAGGGAAGGAAGAAGGUCUAGAAGGACACAUACCAAAAUUUUAACUGUGAUCGUAUCUAGUAAUUUUCUUCCUUUCUACUUUUAUGUCUUUUCCAUAAUUGUUAUAGUGAGUAUUGUUUUACUUUUAUGACGGGUACAAUAAAAUGAACUUGAUUUUGAUCAUUUACU